AGUGAACGCUGGCGGCAGGCCUAAUACAUGCAAGUCGAACGGCAGCACAGCAGAGCUUGCUCUGUGGGUGGCGAGUGGCGGACGGGUGAGGAAUACGUGGGAAUCUGCCCAGUCGUGGGGGAUAACGUAGGGAAACUUACGCUAAUACCGCAUGCGCCCUUCGGGGGAAAGCCGGGGACCUUCGGGCCUGGCGCGAUUGGAUGAGCCCACGUCGGAUUAGCUAGUUGGCGGGGUAAAGGCCACCAAGGCGACGAUCCGUAGCUGGUCUGAGAGGAUGAUCAGCCACACUGGAACUGAGACACGGUCCAGACUCCUACGGGAGGCAGCAGUAGGGAAUAUUGGACAAUGGGCGCAAGCCUGAUCCAGCCAUGCCGCGUGAGUGAAGAAGGCCCUCGGGUUGUAAAGCUCUUUUGUCCGGAAAGAAAGCGCCGGGUU
rnacentral:rRNA from 1 species